rnacentral:lncRNA from 1 species
AGAGGAGGAACUGAGGAGAGGAGGAGAGGAGGAGAGAAAAACAAUUGAACUAUUUGAAGUGGUGAUAUGAAUCAGAUGUUGUUGUCCUCUCACUGCUAGACAUGACUUCACCACUAAGACAUGACUUCACCACCAAGGUACUUCAUCUGUUGAUGUCCUCUUACUGCUAGACAUGACUUCACCACUAAGGUCUUCAUCCAUCACAAUGUGGGAGGCCUCCUCCACCGUGACAGCUUUGUCACCAGAUCCUCACUGGCCUUCAACCGGAACCACAUUUCCAAAAGACCUGCAGCUCCUGCUGCUCUGAGGGAGCCAGGAGACACCUCAGUAUAACCUCCCCCCCCAGGCCUGCUGCUCUGAGGGAGCCAGGGGACACCUCAGUAUAACCUCCCCCCAGGCCUGCUGCUCUGAGGGAGCCAGGGGACACCUCAGUAUAACCUCCCCCCAGGCCUGCUGCUCUGAGGGAGCCAAGGGACACCUCAGUAUAACCUCUCCCCAGGCCUGCUGCUCUGAGGGAGCCAGGGGACACCUCAGUAUAACCUCCCCCCAGGCCUGCUGCUCUGAGGGAGCCAGGGGACACCUCAGUAUAAC